rnacentral:rRNA from 1 species
GUGAGGAAUAUUGGACAAUGGGCGCAAGCCUGAUCCAGCAAUGCCGCGUGCAGGAAGAAGGCCUUCGGGUUGUAAACUGCUUUUGUACGGAACGAAACGGUCCUGGUUAAUACCUGGGGCUAAUGACGGUACCGUAAGAAUAAGCACCGGCUAACUACGUGCCAGCAGCCGCGGUAAUACGUAGGGUGCGAGCGUUAAUCGGAAUUACUGGGCGUAAAGCGUGCGCAGGCGGUGCUGUAAGACAGGCGUGAAAUCCCCGGGCUCAACCUGGGAAUUGCGCUUGUGACUGCAGUGCUGGAGUACGGCAGAGGGGGAUGGAAUUCCGCGUGUAGCAGUGAAAUGCGUAGAUAUGCGGAGGAACACCGAUGGCGAAGGCAGUCCCCUGGGCCUGUACUGACGCUCAUGCACGAAAGCGUGGGGAGCAAACAGGAUUAGAUACCCCUGUAGUCC